rnacentral:rRNA from 1 species
UACGUAGGGUGCAAGCGUUGUCCGGAAUUAUUGGGCGUAAAGAGCUCGUAGGCGGUUUGUCGCGUCUGCUGUGAAAACCCGAGGCUCAACCUCGGGCCGCAGUGGGUACGGGCAGACUAGAGUGGCGGUAGGGGAGAUUGGAAUUCCUGGUGUAGCGGUGGAAUGCGCAGAUAUCAGGAGGAACACCAAUGGCGAAGGCAGAUCUCUGGGCCGUAACGACGCUGGAGGAGCGAAAGCAUGGGGAGCGAACAGG